ACUGAACGCUGGCGGCAGGCUUAACACAUGCAAGUCGAGCGGAGAUGAGGUGCUUGCACCUUAUCUUAGCGGCGGACGGGUGAGUAAUGCUUAGGAAUCUGCCUAUUAGUGGGGGACAACAUUCCGAAAGGAAUGCUAAUACCGCGUACGUCCUACGGGAGAAAGCAGGGGAUCUUCGGACCUUGCGCUAAUAGAUGAGCCUAAGUCGGAUUAGCUGGUUGGUGGGGUAAAGGCCUACCAAGGCGACGAUCUGUAGCGGGUCUGAGAGGAUGAUCCGCCACACUGGGACUGGGACACGACCCAGACUCCUAAGGGAGGCAGCAGUGGGGAAUAUUGGACAAUGGGGGGAACCCUGAUCCAGCCAUGCCGCGUGUAUGAAGAAGGCCUUAUGGUUGUAAAGCACUUUAAGCGAGGAGGAGGCUACUGAGACUAAUACUCUUGGAUAGUGGACGUUACUCGCAGAAUAAGCACCGGCUAACUCUGUGCCAGCCGCCGCCGUAAGAC
rnacentral:rRNA from 1 species